ACAGUGGUUAUGUGUACUUACAUAAUAGGUUGCUGAGUGAACUUGUGUGAAUUCUGUAGUUUACACCAGAAAGAGUUACUCUUUUGGAUUCAAAUCUAUUUUGGAUUGGCUUUUCUUGUAUCUAUAGGACUUAUUCUAAGUACUUACAGGAUUGUAGUUCAGUAUAUGGCUGUGUACAUUUCAAACAGUAGAGGUCAUUGCCAUUUUGUCAUUCUUAAGAUCACGAAGCAUAAAGUUUUGAGGAGAUGGUAGUUCUAUGAAACCUGCCGUUUGCUCCUGUGUAACAAAGUGCUGUGCCUUCACCAGCCACCAGUGGAAGACUCAUGUCCAGUCAAAAGUUUCUGCAUGUUGGCUGAUGCCCUUCCAUUGCCUUUACGAGCACAACAUCCUCAUCAUUUCUUGACAUCUGAGCCAUCCUUAGACUCUCAGUUGGUCCUGGAAAACUGAAAGAGGCCCAUACUGUCCCAGGAGAGAGGAACUUAAUAGAGGGGGACAGGGUGAAGAUUGAGGCACCCAGUCUCUAACGCCAGACCUUCAGCCUUCCCAUUACUUUCCCUGACUGUUUUCUUCAGUCUUCACUGCAGCUGGUAGUUUCUUGUUCCCUGUAUUUCCUUCUGUUUCCCACGUUUCACGAUUCUCAGUUUCCCUCACUUUGCCACAGAUGUUUAUAUGUAUAAUUUAUUUACCUGAAAAAUCAAUUUGAGAGAGCACCACAUUUACCUGUUAUGUUCAGGCUACAUUUCCUACAACAAACAGUGUGUACUGCUGGAGAAAAAGAUAGAUCUUUACAAGAUGCGGUAAUCCUCUGGAGGCCUGUCCCAUCAGAGAGGUAUGGCUUGACCAGGCGAGCAUGUAGCACAGCCUCAGUAACUGUAAACAUGCUCCAUUUGAUACUAAGGAGGGCUAGAAACAUUCUAACAAGCCAGUCCACUCAGAUACUGUGGGAUUCAUCUACAAAUAAAUAAUGGUUUUUUAAGUUAUAGUUUAGGGAUUAUUUUCAUAGCGAUCAGGAAGUCUGAGAAGUCUGAGGGGCCUGGCUUGGCCUGGGUGCUCAUGGGAAGACAUCCCAGGAGCAUAAAUGGCAGCCUGCAGCUGUGAGACACGUGAACUGAGGCUUUUUAUCUAAUUUGCCAGGCCAAGUCUGCUGUUUGAGAGCCUGUCAAGCACAGCCUAUUUGUUGCUGCCUGUGCCCCAAAUUCCUAGGCUUGUUUUGCACCUACAGGCCCUGCUUUCCCCCAGGUACCUUGGUACCUUCCCCAAGGGGAAGGUCAUCUACUUGAGGGGAAGAAAAUUAUUAUGCAGGCCACAUGUGCACCAGGCAUAACUUUUACACUCUUCAGCACCUACAGAUCCAACAGCCUGCGAUGUCUGUUCACUCCUGCAGUACUGCUCUGUACCAUUUGUGUCAUUUUCCUGUGCUGCCUAUUUCUUCAGCUCCUGUAGUCCCCAUCCAUAAUCCUCACUCACGCCAUGUAAUAGCCUUUCUUCCCUCACUGAAGGAAAUUGUUCUCUUGUAAUGCAUUCUGCUGCUUUUCUACCACACAUCCAUUCAUAUGCAUUUAAUUCAUUUCAAAAAUAUUUCCAGCGUCCUUUUCACUGCUGUACUGAAACUAUGUUUUCUCUGCAUAAAUGAGAAUUCAUAUGGAAUUGGCUUUCAUAUGGAACCUGCAGACUUUUUCCCCCAUUUUAGCCCAGGGUAGAAUUUCAAAUUGAUAGUAUUGGAGAUCAAAUUCAAUAGCUUUUGUAUGAUUUCUUACUAUAUAUAAGUGAACUUCCAGAAAGUAAAUGGCAACACUUCAAUCUUUCUGCAC
ensembl:lncRNA